UACGAAGGGGGCUAGCGUUGCUCGGAAUCACUGGGCGUAAAGCGCACGUAGGCGGAUUUUUAAGUCAGGGGUGAAAUCCUGGAGCUCAACUCCAGAACUGCCUUUGAUACUGAGGAUCUCGAGUCCGGGAGAGGUGAGUGGAACUGCGAGUGUAGAGGUGAAAUUCGUAGAUAUUCGCAAGAACACCAGUGGCGAAGGCGGCUCACUGGCCCGGUACUGACGCUGAGGUGCGAAAGCGUGGGGAGCAAACAGG
rnacentral:rRNA from 1 species